rnacentral:rRNA from 1 species
UACGAGGGGGGCUAGCGUUGCUCGGAAUCACUGGGCGUAAAGCGCACGUAGGCGGAUUGUUAAGUCAGGGGUGAAAUCCUGGAGCUCAACUCCAGAACUGCCUUUGAUACUGGCGAUCUCGAGUCCGGGAGAGGUGAGUGGAACUGCGAGUGUAGAGGUGAAAUUCGUAGAUAUUCGCAAGAACACCAGUGGCGAAGGCGGCUCACUGGCCCGGUACUGACGCUGAGGUGCGAAAGCGUGGGGAGCAAACAGG